rnacentral:snRNA from 1 species
AACCGGAAGCCGGGUUACGGUG